CACGUAGGGGGCAAGCGUUGUCCGGAUUCAUUGGGCGUAAAGAGCUCGUAGGCGGUUCGAUAAGUCGGGUGUGAAACCUCCAGGCUCAACCUGGAGACGCCACCCGAUACUGUCGUGACUAGAGUCCAGUAGGGGAGCGUAGAAUUCCUGGUGUAGCGGUGAAAUGCGCAGAUAUCAGGAGGAACACCAGCGGCGAAGGCGGCGCUCUGGGCUGGAACUGACGCUGAGGAGCGAAAGCGUGGGGAGCGAACAGG
rnacentral:rRNA from 1 species